CUGGAGGUAUCAGAAGUGCGAAUGCUGACAUAAGUAACGAUAAAGCGGGUGAAAAGCCCGCUCGCCGGAAGACCAAGGGUUCCUGUCCAACGUUAAUCGGGGCAGGGUGAGUCGACCCCUAAGGCGAGGCCGAAAGGCGUAGUCGAUGGGAAACAGGUUAAUAUUCCUGUACUUGGUGUUACUGCGAAGGGGGGACGGAGAAGGCUAUGUUGGCCGGGCGACGGUUGUCCCGGUUUAAGCGUGUAGGCUGGUUUUCCAGGCAAAUCCGGAAAAUCAAGGCUGAGGCGUGAUGACGAGGCACUACGGUGCUGAAGCAACAAAUGCCCUGCUUCCAGGAAAAGCCUCUAAGCAUCAGGUAACAUCAAAUCGUACCCCAAACCGACACAGGUGGUCAGGUAGAGAAUACCAAGGCGCUUGAGAGAACUCGGGUGAAGGAACUAGGCAAAAUGGUGCCGUAACUUCGGGAGAAGGCACGCUGAUAUGUAGGUGAA
rnacentral:rRNA from 1 species